rnacentral:misc_RNA from 1 species
AUUUUAAUUUACCAAAUAAAAAUCCCAUUAUUACUACAACUUCAUGCCAACAGUUAUUCUAUGAAUUUAGUGCUACUUACUUGUUGGUAAUUGCAGUUGCUAUUGGGGCAAGUUGCUCUUAAAAAAGGGCUUUCUCUUCUAGUAUGGAGUAAUAUCCUUGGCUUUCUCCCGUUUUGCUCCAUAUAAGUUCCACACAAAUGCUCUCUUUGGUAUUUACCUUAGGGCUACUUACCAAUAUUGUUUGUAAUAAAAAAUAAAGAA